UGGGGAAUAUUGCACAAUGGGGGAAACCCUGAUGCAGCGACGCCGCGUGAGGGAUGACGGCCUUCGGGUUGUAAACCUCUUUCAGUAGGGAAGAAGCCUUCGGGUGACGGUACCUGCAGAAGAAGUACCGGCUAACUACGUG
rnacentral:rRNA from 1 species